GACGAACGCUGGCGGCGUGCUUAACACAUGCAAGUCGAACGGAAAGGCCCUGCUUUUGUGGGGUGCUCGAGUGGCGAACGGGUGAGUAACACGUGAGUAACCUGCCCUUGACUUUAGGAUAACUUCAGGAAACUGGGGCUAAUACCGGAUAGGAGCUCCUGCUGCAUGGUGGGGGUUGGAAAGUUUCGGCGGUUGGGGAUGGACUCGCGGCUUAUCAGCUUGUUGGUGGGGUAGUGGCUUACCAAGGCUUUGACGGGUAGCCAGCCUGAGAGGGUGACCGGCCACAUUGGGACUGAGAUACGGCCCAGACUCCUACGGGAGGCAGCAGUGGGGAAUAUUGCACAAUGGGCGGAAGCCUGAUGCAGCAACGCCGCGUGCGGGAUGACGGCCUUCGGGUUGUAAACCGCUUUCGCCUGUGACGAAGCGUGAGUGACGGUAAUGGGUAAAGAAGCACCGGCUAACUACGUG
rnacentral:rRNA from 1 species